GACCCCCUAGCUCAGUGGUAGAGCGUGUGAUUCCAGUUCUGGGGAUUCCACAAGGUCAUCCGUUCAAUCCGGGUGGGGGUCA
rnacentral:tRNA from 1 species